UAGGUACUCCCUCCAUCCAAAAAUACUUAUCAUCAAAAUGGAUAAAAAAAGAUGUAUGUAGAACUAAAAUAUGUCCAGAUACAUCCCCUUUAUACAUUUUGAUGACAAGUAUUUCCUGACAAAGGGAGUACAUA
rfam:Triticum aestivum genome assembly, contig: Triticum_aestivum_CS42_TGACv1_scaffold_405282_5BL